CCUCUCCUUGUUAUCCUGUCCCCUUCCGAAGACCAAACCGGCUACCUGAACUUCGGUGCGCGUCCAUGGAGCUCAACCCAUCCGCUUCCCUCCCCUAGCUCUCUCUCGUCCACCUCGGGUUCCAACCGCAGCAUCGGAGGCGGAGCCAUGGCGUCGUGCUCCCGCACUUGGCUCCUCCCAGGCAUGGCGCCGCAGGCCACCGCCCAGACUGUUCCUCGCCCCCUCCAGUCCUUGAAGGUGUUUGCUGGAUUGCCUCACCGGAGAAGGGUGCUGUUUUCUGGUGUGUCGAGCAGAACGCGAAGAGGCAGGAUCAGGAGCGUCAAGGACGACUCGCUCCAUUUUGAUCCAUCUAAGAUCGAGGCGCCACCGUACUCCAGUUACUUCGACUCCACGUCGGGCCAGCUCGAGCCGGCGUCGGGUGCUCGGGCAAGCAUACCUGGGCAGGAGUACUGGCCGGAGGGCACUGCAUCCCGCGUACGCGCUGCCCGUGCACCUGCACCGGUCGGGGAAUCAGCUGGGACACCGUCGUUUGGUAAGAAGCCCGGGAGUAGAAGGAAAGGGUACAAGGAGCAGGUAGCAUCAGCGACGGCAGGGAGAGGCACGGAGACCAGUGGAGAUGAGGGAGAGUCGGUUGUGGCCAUUGAGGCCUCAUCAGAUGAGACACUGGAGGAGACAAAGGAUUCAUUGGAUGAGUACGUCGUUUAUGAGAUGCCCAAGGAAGAAAAUUUGAGUGAAUAUGAGAUGGACAAGAUGAUGGGACGGCCACACCCGUUCGUUGACCCGCAGAAGGCAAUGUCUGUAGGGGAACCAAAAUCUAGUGAAGAGCUGUGGUGGAACUGGAGGAGGAAGUCUGAGGAAAAUGAAAUGUGGUCAAGAUGGCAGAGGAGGCGUCCAGAUGUUGACACGGUCUUUGCAAAAGCAAUGGCAGAAACUGGGCAGAUCAAAAUAUUUGGGGACCACCCUACCAGAACAGAAGCUGCUCUUGCCAAGGCAAGAAGACAUUUAUUCAAAGAGGAAAGGUUAGAAGCAGAACAAAGGAGACUAGAAGAAAUAGGGCCAAUAGCAUACUAUUCGGAAUGGGUUGAAGCGUAUAAAAACAAAGACACUUCACGAGAAGCUGUACAGAAACACUUUGAGGAGACUGGCGAAGAUGAGAAUACUCAACUUAUAACAAUGUUUCAACACCAAACUGCUGGGGAAUUCCGUAUCAUGAUGGGCACUGAUGUUCGCAUACAACGAGAUCCUUUGGCAAUGAGGAUGCGGGAAGACCAGAUCAAACAGAUUUGGGGUGGUGAUCCUGUUUACCCAACCAUUAACUACGUUCAUGAUCCUGACGAAGUAGCGGACUACAGGGGUCCAGAAUUUCAUGAGCCUACACCUGAAGUUGUACCUUACUUGAUGGAGCAUGGUAUAAUGAUAACAAAGGAAGAGCUAUAUGCCCGUUUAAAUGAAGAGAUGGAAGACAUCAAUCAGGACAUUACGUAUCUUCCUGAAGUCAGAGAUCCCAUGGCUACUGCUGUUGAUAUUGGGGAGCAUUCUUACAACGAAGAUAGUGAUGACGAUGAGGAGGAUGCUGACAAAGUUGUUGCGCAGCCUGAGUCACUAGAGGAUGAUGAAGAUGAUGGUGAUGAUGCUGAGGAUGCUGAAGGGAAGGUCAGUCGUAAUUGGAGUGUUCUAAAAACUACCGGACAGGCUGAAAAUCCAAAGGAAAAGUCGAAGAAAGAUCAACUGUCGCUAAAAGAAGCUAUUGCAGAUUCUGAGAACUUGACUGAUUUUCUUAUGGACUUCGAAGAAGAUGAGUAAUAUCUGGGCAUUUACUUUACUAUGCUGCACGUUACACAUGCCCUAGCGACAAAAGUGAGAUACUCAUAGCAAAAACAAGGGAACUUACUUCUGGAGGUCCAUAGCCGCUAGGGGCAAUGAAGACAACUGGAUGCCCACAAAACUCCACCUGUUCAACUGGGCCGAUCAUGUUGGAGAAUGAUAUGGUAGUAUGAGAGAUCAUACGAUGGAAGAUAGCAGCUGCUGCCUGUUUGAUUCACAAGUUGCAAUGAUAUUGGGAACAAAGAAAUCCACAGGGGAUGUUUUUUGGCGCAUGGCUCAAAAUUUGGCGCUGUAAUGCUCUUUCUAGGAAACAAGGAAGUUAACCACUGCCAACAACUGGGACUGUACACAAUUUCUAGUGAAUAUCACAAUCUUGUACACCUACGAUUGUAUUUUCUUGAUAACUAAAUUAGCAUGGUUAGACAGCAAAUACUAAAUCAGGUAUUCAGUUAUACUUGGAGUAUCCUGAAAUCUAUUGUUUUGUGAACUAAACCAGUGCUUGUCAAUAGAAACAAAGUGAUUAUCGCAUUGCCUGCCAAGAUAAUAA